rnacentral:tRNA from 1 species
GCUCCUGUAGUUCAGCUGGAUAGAACAGCCCUCUCCUAAGGGGCAGAUACAGGUUCGAGUCCUGUCGGGAGUA